rnacentral:rRNA from 1 species
UACGAAGGGGGCUAGCGUUGUUCGGAAUCACUGGGUGUAAAGGGCGCGUAGGCGGCCGAUCAAGUCGGGGGUGAAAGCCUGUGGCUCAACCACAGAAUUGCCUUCGAUACUGGUUGGCUUGAGACCGGAAGAGGUAAGUGGAACUGCGAGUGUAGAGGUGAAAUUCGUAGAUAUCGGGAGGAACACCAGUGGCGAAGGCGGCGAUCUGGGUCGAUACUGACGCUGAGGUGCGAAAGCGUGGGGAGCAAACAGG